UUUCCAUAACCAUGCAGUAUGGGAACCAUUCCCAUAAUAUAUUGUAACUGUUACUAUAAUUUUCUCUCCGUGUAUGACUCGUAAUAAAAUUAAAAUCUCCAGCAACUUCUACAUGUAUACAAGUAUAAUAAAAAAUUCUGAUAAAUAAAUAUCGAGCAAUGCUUGUAAGCUAUUAUUACUAACAGUAAUUACUGUUUGCUGAUAAAGAUGUGGUAUAAAUAUAUGAAGUGUCUCAUGAACAAAAUUAUUAAAUCCAAGCUAUUGAGCCCCAAUAACUCUACCUCAAUUUAGACUACUUUCUAUCACUCGUCACAAAAAAAAGUAAGUACAAAACUUAUAAAAAAUGUUGCUAAUUAUUGUAUUAAAAUUGUUGAUUGCGUCGAGUGUGAUGUCAGAGAUAAUAACAGUUUGCAAGUUGGAAAACUCAUAUUGUUACGAUAACAGGGAAUGCUGUUCAAAUCUCUGCCAACCAUUAGGAUUGGGUUUACUUCGCAAUAUCUGCAAGCCUGUGAUUGAUAAUUGUACAAAAAUUGGAGCAACUUGUGAGUAUUCCGAGGAAUGCUGUACCGAAUUUUGUCGACCUCAAUCAAGUCAAAAGUUUGAUGGAUUAUGUGACGCUCGUCCUAGAUCUCCUCUGAUGUUAAAAGUCCGCUUUUAAUUACAUUAGUAUAAAAAAAUUAAUCCUCAAAUUUUCAAUCAGGGAUUUUAAGAAAAAAUAUUCUUUGGCUUAUUGUUAGAAAUUAUCUCAAAAUUGAAGUAAC